GCCCUUUCAGGAUCACACCUGGAGAAUUUCCAGUACUCUACCAGUUUCGGCUAUGGGAGGGAGAGUCAAGCAGAGGCAUAAUCAUUUCAUUCCUAGCUUUUGCAGUGGCUAGUGAGUGGAAGGCUAACUGCUACAAGU